rnacentral:tRNA from 1 species
CGGGGUAUAGCUCAGUUGGUAGAGUGCACCGUUCGGGACGGUGAAGUCGCCGGUUCAGUCCGGCUACCCCGACCA